GAUGAACGCUGGCGGCGUGCCUAAUACAUGCAGGUCGAGCGAACGGACGAGAAGCUUGCUUCUCUGAUGUUAGCGGCGGACGGGUGAGUAACACGUGGAUAACCUACCUAUAAGACUGGGAUAACUUCGGGAAACCGGAGCUAAUACCGGAUAAUAUUUUGAACCGCAUGGUUCAAAAGUGAAAGACGGUCUUGCUGUCACUUAUAGAUGGAUCCGCGCUGCAUUAGCUAGUUGGUAAGGUAACGGCUUACCAAGGCAACGAUGCAUAGCCGACCUGAGAGGGUGAUCGGCCACACUGGAACUGAGACACGGUCCAGACUCCUACGGGAGGCAGCAGUAGGGAAUCUUCCGCAAUGGGCGAAAGCCUGACGGAGCAACGCCGCGUGAGUGAUGAAGGUCUUCGGACCGUAAAACUCUGUUAUUAGGGAAGAACAUAUGUGUAAGUAACUGUGCACAUCUUGACGGUACCUAAUCAGAAAGCCACGGCUAACUACGUG
rnacentral:rRNA from 1 species